CCCGAGACUAGUCCCAUCUUGACAGCUGCUGUCUGGUGUGCUAGGGCUCUCGGGAAGAACCUGCGGGUCUCGAUUCACUGGCGAGGGCAGGAAGUGCCCGGCGGGGCUCAGAUCAGAAACACAG